GAUGGUAUCUUAGUUUGUGCUACUAUAACAGAAUACCUGAGACUGAGAAAUUUAUGAAGAACAGAAAUUUAUUUUCUUAACAGUUCAGAAUGAAUCUGAGAACUCCAAGAUCAAAUUGCUAUGAGAACAUUCUUACUGCAUAUAUUUAUGUAUUUAUUUUAAAACUCAUAGCAUUAAACAUAUCAUCUACUAUAGUUUGAAUGUUUCUUCCCCAAAAUUCAGAUGCCACCAAAUAGCUUAAGAGGUGGAAACUUUAAGAGUUAAUAGGCCAUGAGGGCUCCUUUGUACCACAGGUUGAAUCUAGGGAUGCUUAACCACUGAACCACAUCCACAGCUUAUUUUAUUUUAUUUAUUUUAUUUUGGGACAGGAUCUUGCUAAGUUUCUGGGGGCCUCACUAAAUUGCUGAGCUGGCUUUGAAUUUGCGAUCCUCCUGCCUUAGCUACGCAAGUCACCGGAAUUACAGGUGUGUGCCACUGUGCCUGGCCUAUCCAGCAAUUUUUUUAAAAAGAGACUAUCAUGCUUCAAACAUUCUUUAUUUUAUUUAUUUGUUUUUAGAUGGUGCUGAGGACUGAACCCAAUACCUCACACGCGCUAGGCAAGCAUUGCACCACUGAACCACAACCCAAGGCCCCUAACCAAGUAUUAUUUUAAGAUUUUCUCUAUUUAGAGUUUUAAAAUUUCACUCUGAAGAAAUUUAGCUGUGGAUUUCUUCUCACAUGCUGUUUGGGAAGAUCAUCAUUGGGCUUCUUGAAUCCCUGGAUUUUGCUGUCCUGAAAAGUUCUCAACCAUUGUCUCUUCAAAUACAGUCACUAGUAUGGCAAUAUGUAAAAACGUGGAUGUGUAACCGAUGUGAUUCUGCAAUCUGUAUAUGGGGUAAAAAUGGGAGUUCAUAACCCACUUGAAUCAAAUGUAUGAAAUAUGAUAUGUUAAGAGCUUUGUAAAGUUUUGAAC
rnacentral:lncRNA from 1 species